rnacentral:misc_RNA from 1 species
GAUGAAGAACGUAGCGAAAUGCGAUACGUAAUGUGAAUUGCAAAUUCAGUGAAUCAUCGAGUCUUUGAACGCACAUUGCGCCCCCUGGUAUUCCGGGGGGCAUGCCUGUCCGAGCGUCAUUACUGCCCUCAAGCCCGGCUUGUGUGUUGGGCCCCGUCCUCCGAUCCCGGGGGACGGGCCCGAAAGGCAGCGGCGGCACCGCGUCCGGUCCUCGAGCGUAUGGGGCUUUGUCACCCGCUCUGUAGGCCCGGCCGGCGCUUGCCGAUCAACCCCAAUUUUUUAUAGGUUGACCUCGGAUCAGGUAGGGAUACCCGCUGAACUUAAGCAUAUCAAUAGCGGAGGA